rnacentral:hammerhead_ribozyme from 1 species
CUGCGAAACCGCCCUGCGCGGGCGGUCGUCGGGGCGUGGCGGCCUCGGCCUGAUGAGCAGCCAAAC